rnacentral:tRNA from 1 species
GCGGGUGUGGCUUAGUGGUAAAGCAUCUCCUUCCCAAGGAGAAGAUCGCGAGUUCGAAUCUCGUCACCCGCUCCA